rnacentral:rRNA from 1 species
UACAGAGGCCCCAAGCAUUAUCCGGAAUCACUGGGCGUAAAGGGUGUGCAGGCGGUCGCGUUAGUCUUUUGUAAAAGCCCGCGGGCUCAACCCGUGGAAUGCAAAAGAAAUGGCGCGGCUACGAGGACGCGAGAGGUAGAGGGAACUCAUGGUGUAGGGGUGAAAUCCGUUGAUAUCAUGGGGAACACCAAAUGCGAAGGCACUCUACUGGCGCGCUCCUGACGCUCAUACACGAAAGCGUGGGAAUCGAAUGGG